CUUUCUUUGCUGGCGACCGGCGCACGGGUGAGUAACACGUAUCCAACCUGCCCUUUACUCGGGGAUAGCCUCUCGAAAGAAAGAUUAAUACCCGAUAGCAUAAUGAUUCCGCAUGGUUUCAUUAUUAAAGGAUUCCGGUAAAGGAUGGGGAUGCGUUCCAUUAGGUUGUUGGUGAGGUAACGGCCCACCAAGCCUUCGAUGGAUAGGGGUUCUGAGAGGAAGGUCCCCCACAUUGGAACUGAGACACGGUCCAA
rnacentral:rRNA from 1 species